AAUUAAUGAGCUUGUUUAUAAGCAUUUGUUUUGAAAACAUAAGAAAGAAUUUUAAUAUUCUAUUAAUUU
rnacentral:tRNA from 1 species